rnacentral:rRNA from 1 species
AGCAUGUGGUUUAAUUCGAAGCAACGCGAAGAACCUUACCAGAUCUUGACAUCCAAUUGACCAUCUUUAUCGAGAUUUUGCCUUCGGGUACAAUUGAGACAGGUGGUGCAUGGUUGUCGUCAGCUCGUGUCGUGAGAUGUGGGUUAAGUCCCGCAACGAGCGCAACCCUCGUGUUUAGUUGCAAACAGGUCAAGCUGUGCACUCUAGACAGACUGCCGUGGACAACACGGAGGAAGGUGGGGAUGACGUCAAAUCAUCAUGCCCCUUAUUAUCUGGGCUACACACGUGCUACAAUGGCCGGUACAACGGGCAGCGAAGGAGCGAUCCGGAGCGAAUCCUAAAAAGCCGGUCCCAGUUCGGAUUGCAGGCUGAAACUCGCCUACAUGAAGUUGGAGUUGCUAGUAAUCGCGAAUCAGAAUGUCGCGGUGAAUGCGUUCCCGGGUCUU